rnacentral:rRNA from 1 species
CGGAGGGGCGUAGCGUUGUUCGGAAUUAACUGGGCGUAAAGACGCACGUAGGCGGACUGGAAAGUACAGAGGUGAAAUACCCAGGGCUCAACCUUGGAACUGCCUUUGAAACUAAUCAGUCUGGAGUUCGAGAGAGGUGAGUGGAAUUCCGAGUGUAGAGGUGAAAUUACGUAGAUAUUCGGAGGAACACCAGUGGCGAAGGCGGCUCACUGGCUCGAUACUGACGCUGAGGUGCGAAAGCGUGGGGGAGGCAAACAGGAUU